rnacentral:rRNA from 1 species
CACGUAGGGUGCGAGCGUUGUCCGGAAUUAUUGGGCGUAAAGAGCUCGUAGGCGGUGUGUCGCGUCGGCCGUGAAAACCUGCAGCUUAACUGUGGGCUUGCGGUCGAUACGGGCAUCACUGGAGUUCGGCAGGGGAGACUGGAAUUCCUGGUGUAGCGGUGAAAUGCGCAGAUAUCAGGAGGAACACCGGUGGGCGAAGGCGGGUCUCUGGGCCGAUAACUGACGC